CCUUUGACGUUAGCGGCGGACGGGUGAGUAACACGUGGGUAACCUACCUAUAAGACUGGGAUAACUUCGGGAAACCGGAGCUAAUACCGGAUAAUAUUUCGAACCGCAUGGUUCGAUAGUGAAAGAUGGUUUUGCUAUCACUUAUAGAUGGACCCGCGCCGUAUUAGCUAGUUGGUAAGGUAACGGCUUACCAAGGCGACGAUACGUAGCCGACCUGAGAGGGUGAUCGGCCACACUGGAACUUAGACACGGUCCAGACUCCUACGGGAUGCAGCAGUC
rnacentral:rRNA from 1 species